UACGUAGGGUGCGAGCGUUGUCCGGAUUUAUUGGGCGUAAAGAGCUCGUAGGCGGCUUGUCGCGUCGGAUGUGAAAGCCCGGGGCUUAACCCCGGGUCUGCAUUCGAUACGGGCAGGCUAGAGUGUGGUAGGGGAGAUCGGAAUUCCUGGUGUAGCGGUGAAAUGCGCAGAUAUCAGGAGGAACACCGGUGGCGAAGGCGGGUCUCUGGGCCGUAACUGACGCUGAGGAGCGAAAGCAUGGGGAGCGAACAGG
rnacentral:rRNA from 1 species